rnacentral:rRNA from 1 species
UACGUAGGGGGCGAGCGUUGUCCGGAUUUAUUGGGCGUAAAGAGCGUGUAGGCGGCCAGGUAGGUCCGUUGUGAAAACUCGAGGCUCAACCUCGAGACGUCGAUGGAAACCAUCUGGCUAGAGUCCGGAAGAGGAGAGUGGAAUUCCUGGUGUAGCGGUGAAAUGCGCAGAUAUCAGGAGGAACACCGAUGGCGAAGGCAGGUCUCUGGGCAUUAACUGACGCUGAGGAGCGAAAGCAUGGGGAGCGAACAGG